CAUGUAUUAUAUACAGUAAGUGAACUUCAGGUUGACUAUCAGAAACAUGUAUUAUAUAUAGUAAGUGAACUUCAGGUUGACUGUGAGAAACAUGUAUUAUAUACAGUAAGUGAACUUCAGGUUGACUGUGAGAAACAUGUAUUAUAUACAGUAAGUGAACUUCAGGUUGACUGUGAGAAACAUGUAUUAUAUACAGUAAGUGAACUUCAGGUUGACUGUGAGAAACAUGUAUUAUAUACAGUAAGUGAACUUCAGGGUGACUGUGAGGAACAUGUAUUAUAUACAGUAAGUGAACUUCAGGUUGACUGUGAGAAACAUGUAUUAUAUACAGUAAGUGAACUUCAGGUUGACUAUCAGAAACAUGUAUUAUAUAUAGUAAGUGAACUUCAGGUUGACUGUGAGAAACAUGUAUUAUAUACAGUAAGUGAACUUCAGGUUGACUGUGAGAAACAUGUAUUAUAUACAGUAAGUGAAC